rnacentral:rRNA from 1 species
AUUGAACGCUGGCGGCAUGCUUUACACAUGCAAGUCGAACGGCAGCGCGGGCUUCGGCCUGGCGGCGAGUGGCGAACGGGUGAGUAAUGCAUCGGAACGUGCCCAGUAGUGGGGGAUAGCCCGGCGAAAGCCGGAUUAAUACCGCAUACGACCUGAGGGUGAAAGCGGGGGACCGAAAGGCCUCGCGCUAUUGGAGCGGCCGAUGUCGGAUUAGCUAGUUGGUGGGGUAAAGGCUUACCAAGGCGACGAUCCGUAGCUGGUCUGAGAGGACGACCAGCCACACUGGGACUGAGACACGGCCCAGACUCCUACGGGAGGCAGCAGUGGGGAAUUUUGGACAAUGGGGGCAACCCUGAUCCAGCCAUGCCGCGUGCGGGAAGAAGGCCUUCGGGUUGUAAACCGCUUUUGUUCGGGAAGAAAUCCUCUGGGCUAAUACCCCGGGGGGAUGACGUUACCGGAAGAAUAAGCACCGGCUAACUACGUG